UCCAAACUGAUACACGUAGCCCGGUGAUUGACACCUCCGAGGCAGAGCAGCAUUUUUAUCCCGAAAAAUAAAAAAUGAUCAGUGUCUUGAAAUUAGAUGAGUGGCGUCUGCGAUCUCCCGACGUUCUUACGACGCCCCGACAAAUUUUUAACAUGUCAUAAAACUUUAGUCCCCGACAAAGCAAUUUGUGAAAUGUGUGAGGGGCUACGGGCCGAUUUCUUGACGAAUACUGCCAGUAGCCAAUAGGACAUGCUAGCAGCAAUGGCGACAAAGAGAAAAGUUGUGCCCCGCAAGGUGUGGAGCCUCAAAAUUGAGGAAAGGAUGGUGGAGAUGUGGCAGGAACACCCGUGUCUCUUUGACAUAAGUGAUAUUUCCUCUCAUGAUCGCUCAUUGAAGGAACAAAGAUGGAGGGAAAUUGCUUUGGAACUUCAGGUACCUGCAGGUGCUGGCAGUGUUCUGAGACUUUGCAUGCUGCAUGUGGAAGAACGACCAGCUGGCAUUGGGACUACACUGGAAUGAAAACAUGCCCAACAUCCCUGACAAGAUGUACCAAUACCAGGCCUGCAGGCAAGCACACUGCAUCUCUCACUGUCUGCUUUUCACUGCCUGCAUAGCAAAUACAUGGUAUUCUGCUGUCUGCUUUAAAUGUUAAGAAAUGUAACUUUUAUUGAUUUGAAUACUUUACUCAUACAUCCCAAUACCAGUUGUGGCUAACAGCCUAAUCAGACUCACUAUAGUUUCACUAUAGUUGGCAAUACUGAUCUAAUUACCUGCUGCAAAACGAUUUAGGAAGAUUCAAAAUCUGUCUUGCCAGAAAACACAAAGAGAUUUAGCAAUAAUGAUAAGAAAUAAUCAUCAGUAAUAAUCAGGGGUUCACAUAACUCGUACGCAGGUACACAUGCACACCAAUACAAAUAUUGUUUUUAAGACGCAAAUGCAUACUGUCAGUACAUUUUUAACAUGAAAGCAUUUUUCGUAUAGGCAGCGAGGUUGCAUAUUAUCUGGCUAUGAAAUGGAGAGCGAAAGGUGGAAUCACUCCAGUUCAUGAUAUCAAUCAUUUUCUUUUAAUGGAUACUUGAAGCAACCACUGAUAGCAGGGAUCUCGAUUUAGCUGUCCAUUCAGAGAAGAGGGAUGUAGUUACGGGGAGUGGCAUUGUGAAAGCUCGCUGACGCUUAGCUUCCCAAACUGAGCACGGAUGAGAGGAUAUCGAUGUUUGAGAGCUAUCACAUUUAAAAAAAAAUACGUUUACUUAAGCAUUUUACUUAAAAUAAUAUUUUUUUCCCCUCAGUUAUAUCCUAUAAAUACUGUUGUUCUGUCAAGCUAACGUGUUUAACAAUGCUAAAGUGAAGAAGUGUUUUGUUUUUUGCUUUUGAAUCCCCACAGCUGGAAUUUGGUGGUAGGCUAUUGAAAUAAACAGAGAAUGCGAGAUGAUUUGUACAAAAUUAUAGUAACCAGCAAUCCGGACUACUACUUAAACAUUCAUAAACUAUUGUCUCUGACACUGCCAUUAACCCUUUAAGGACGUGAUUGUGUAAACACGAUCAUACUGAAGCGUCAUUCUGGGCCCGUGAUUGGGUAAGCACGUAAAAAAUGCACUUUGUUUCUUUGACUUACUGAGGCAACAUACUUUGCAGUACAGAUUGUUAACGCAUAUCAUUAGAUAGGGGAGGGGUUGAACUUCAUUGUCUUUUUUUUUUUUUCAUGUGACAUCACUGAGAGGGACAUUUCAUUUAUAAAGGGCAAAGACAUUUUAUAGCAGCACACAGAGACAAAACAUUACACAGGAACUUGUUUAUAGCUAAGAAAAAAAUGGGGAAACACUGUAAAUCCAAUGUAUUUGACAUAUAGUUAUAUUAGAACAUUUAUUUUGUCUUGUGUUUUAAUAUAUAUGUUUUUACAACAUUUAUAAAAAUCAAGAAACAAGUGGAUAUAAGCAGAUCAUGUUUCAGGAAUCAAAUUUAUCAAGUGUUUUUUUUCCUUAUUACUGAUAAUUAGGCUUGCUACUAUUUGAUUUUUUUUUUUUGCCAAAUUGACGAUUAAUAUCGGCAUUUAUUUUAGAAAGAAUUUACCAGGAUUUUUUAUCUUUAUUUUUCAAUUCAAGCAGAGAAUGGGUGAAAUUGACCUUUAUGCUUUAAAAAAACUUUUUAUGCCAUUGAAAAAUGUCUCCUUUAGCGAAACACUUUAUCAUAUUCAACAUGCAACAAAACCAUGGUUACCAACAUUCUAAUUGAAAUAACGUUUGCUCACAGCUGAGCUAUACAUUUAAAAAUGGUCUCAAAUAAAUUGUAGUAAAUGCAGCAUAUAAGUGUAUUAACUAGGCCUUUAUAGCAUAAAUUUACGAGUAGAAAUAAUAUGCACAGAACAAAACAUUAAAUAGUUGAACAGAACUAACUUGCACUUAUUAUUCAGAGUCUGAGCUCCCCCUAUCCUGCUUCAUCACAAUCGGACUAAGAGUCACUGGAAGGCAAGGCAGAAGGCACCUGUGGCAGGCUGGCUCGCAGUGGUGAGGUGUGGUGACGUCACGGACCAGGAAGUAACUGAAUCAAAACAAUGGAUGGGCGGGUGAAGCUAAAUGCAACAGCACUCAGCGUGGAUUUAUAAAUAAACAAAACAAAAUGAAAGAUUUAAACAAACAACAAAACAGAAACAAAAGGGCACGAGGGCCAAACGAAUAAACAGACAGACAAGUAAGUGUCGUGCUGGCUAAUCCAGCAUGUUUUAGCAAUUGUUUUUCUGUCUUUUUUUCUGUCUCCUCUCUAUCUCCCCGUACCUCCUCUCUGUACACCCAACCCUGCAGCACGGACAGCUGCAGGUUCUUAUACUCUGGCCGAGGGGUUAACUAGCUGUUAAUUAUCUUAUUACCUCUCGGCCACAGUCCGCACGCGUUUGGUAAGGAUGCAUGACUGUCAGCUAGUUAAAUAAUCAGUAGCUGAUCAGUCAUGCAUCCUCACGGGGCGGGACACACUGCCACAGCCCCGCUUCGUCCUACCGCAGAGACUUCAGCCAUCGGCCAGGGUAUUGUGCACAAUAUUCAUUAAGUGUUUUUUCUCUUGUGCCCCAUUUUCAAACUAAACUAGUAACUGUCACCUACGGUGGCCCUGAAGUGCAAAACACAACAACAAAUUGGAAAACAAAAUAACAAAUUAGAAAACACAACGACAAAUUGGAAAAGAAAUUAACAAAAGAGAAAACAAAACAACAUUAACUCUAAACCGGAAAGGGAGGGGAGAUAGGCAAAAGUGUACCACGUCACUGAUUGGAGGAACAACAUGUCAAUCACUGCUGCGGAACUCUGGGCGGAAGCACUUGGAAACUAACCGUGGUAAGUCACUUUUCUCUUGUUUGAAUUUUAAUAAUGUUUUGUAUUUGUUUAUUUCACACUCGUUUUACUAAUGUAAGGACUAAUAUAGGGUAGAGUGUGGCAAAUAUAUAGAAAUUAACUCGUAACAAGAAGCUGCCUGCCUCGAGUUUCAGGAGGUUGGAUGUAAACAAGUGCUGUGGCUGAUACGUGAUUUUUCCAAAUACUGUUUUUUUUUCCUUACAACACGUACAGUAUGUGAUAAGUUAAACCUGAACUAUUUUUUUUUUAAAAGUAUGUUGUCAACAUUUUGUAGUUACAGUGUGAACUCUGGGUAAUGUAGUCCUUGAAGCGCUGUCUGCUAACAUAGACUGUUCAAUAAUAACUUCCGUCUCGAAGCACUAUGGCAGAGCGCUCGGCCUAUUGAACGCACCCCAGUUCGUUGUACAUUGUAUGUCAUGCACUGCAUUUAGACAUCAACAUUCGCAUUGGCAAACGUGUUAUCAUUUCAUAAUUUAGUAAUUUAUUUCCAUUUAAGGAUGAUCAAGUGAUCACAUUUUAAAGACCCUUUUUAAUAAUAAAUUAAUAAAUCUAACAUCCUCGUCUUAGCCAGUGUCAUUAGCAAGUAGAGGAGAAAAAACCAUGUCACAGAAUUAUUAAUUAUGUGUUGAGAUACAAUGAACUGAAACAGUAUUUUUGUCCUCUGUAGCUGUGAGUAUGCAGUUACAAAACUCCCAAGGAUAGCCUCUUGGUAUAUUAUGGUAUUGCAUGCUACAAGCAUGCUUUGUGACAGUUUUUACAGUCUGGGCGUCUUGUCCCACCAUAACCUACUGUUUUAUAGUAUAUGUAUAUACAGUAUAUAAUGUAUUCACAUAUGUGACUUCCGGCAAUUGUAUUUAAUAUACUUCGGUUUGAUUGGUUACUACUGUUUUACAUAAAAAGUCAAACUAAAUAGUAGAGCACUAUUAAACAUUGUACACAAAACCAUGUAACCUUGAACAACUUUUUGGCUUUACUACUUUUUAACUUUUGUUUCAGAUGCUAUGUAUUGCAUAUUUUGUGGCGAACAGAUGCAAGGUUCUGUUCAAACCUGUGCUUCUUGUGGAAGACAUAACCCAGUGCAUGUUGAAACUGGUGAUCCACCUCAGCAAGAGGAAAGUCCAUCACACUGUGACCUGUCGUCCUCGGUGUCUGACAUUGAUUUAAUUAUGCAUUAUUUUCUGGUUAUAUUGGAUGUGCUUUCCAGCUUUCAUGGAAUUCAGUACAGCACCCGUACACUAAAGAACCGAUUAAAGCAAGCUGGUUUGUUCAGAAGAAAGAACUAUUCUAUGAAGGAUGUGAGAAGUGCCAUACUGCGUGAGGUACGAGGACCAGGACAGCUAUUUGGCUAUUGCACAAUGUGGCAAAUAUUAAAACAAAAAUACAGAUUACAAGUGAAACGGUCUGUGGUUAUGAGGUUGCUGUCUGCACUAAACCCAACAGGGACUGAACUGAGAAGACGUCGUAGGUUUAUCCACCGCAUAUAUCACUCCUUAGGUCCAAACUACAUGUGACAUGUCGAUGGCUACAAUAAGCUAAAACCAUUUGGUUUUGCUUUGUCUGGAUGUGUCGAUGGUUUCUCCAGACGGAUCUUAUGGCUUGUUUGUGGCCCUACAAACAACAACCCAGCAGUGAUGCACAAAACUUUAUUCACUGUGUGCAGUCUCUUGGAUUGAUCCCAAUGAGGUUAAGAACAGACUGUGGAACAGAGAAUUGGACUAUGGCAGCAAUUCAGUGCACACUUCGUUCUCUUCACUCAGACUACUACGCUGGGUCAGCAAGCCACAUGUAUGGUCCUUCAAUCAGCAAUCACCGAAUAGAGUCUUGGUGGUCUUCAUUCAGAAAGGGCAGGGCACAGUUUUGGAUAGACCUUUUUGGUGAUCUCCAAGAUGCAGGGCAUUUCAACGGCAGUCAUGAACUGCAAUGUUUGCUACGAUUCUCUUUCAACAAUGUGCUUCAGAAGGAUCUCGAUGAGUGCACAGAGCUGUGGAACCUCCGACCAUCCAGGCGUGCUAUAUGUCCAGGUGGAGUUCCAACUGAGCUUUACAGUUUACCUCACAGAUUUGGGUCUAGUGACUGUGGAUUCAGAGUAGAAGAGGAACUCCUUACUUUUUCAGAGCUAGGUGAUAUGGUUGUAUCAUGUGGAGACACAGAAAUACAAGCAUAUGUGGAACACAUCAUGGAACAAAAUAAUUUGCAAAGCCCUAACAACUGGGAGUCAGCUUUACAAUUGUAUCUUACAUUAAAAUACAUUUCCGGGCUCUAAAUUUCUAAACAUUACAAACUUCUAUUCUGACGAAUACUUCUGAAUACUUCUUAUUUAGCAGAGUAUAGUUCAGUCCACUAUACAGUGUACACUAUACACAAUUUAUAUAUAUUUCUUUUAAACAUUAACAAUUGUACAAACAGCAUUAACAGUUGUUGUUUUUGUUUUUUUUUUUAAAUAGAAAACAAGUACAUUAAGCAUUUCUGUAGCUCUUCGGGACCAGGAGUGAGGAUUACUGAUCUAGAUACAGCCAAAUCCCAGAGAAUUCUGGAUUCCAAAAUCCAUGGAAGUCUUAAAUGAACUGUAGGUGUCUGCUAAAGGUAGCUUUACAAUAUUUCCACAGGUGUGUGCCAUUGGGAACUGUGAAUUGCUCAAAAACUCAAUAGAAGGCCGGUUGGUUGCAGGCGGCAGUGAUCUCAGCCCUGUAACGAACAUUAGGACGUCUUCCAGGGACUCAGCACUUUCUUGUUCUGAAAUUCAGAAAUGCAAAAGAUCCAUUACAUAUUCAUUACAACCUUUCAGAUGUUUUUUAUGAAUUACUUUGUCAUAAUACGGACAUGUAACCACACAAUUCCCACAUAUAUAUGACGUGCACCACAUUAUGCUAAUGGCCAUAUAAAAAGAUUUUUUAUGAAAUUAGGGAUGAGUGGAACAAGACGUGUUUUAAUGUACACACUUUUGUAAUCAGACCAUUUCCCAUUGCAAACUUACAUUAAUGUGUUUAAUAUGCUUUUGUUAUCUUUUGACACAAAAUUAUCGGUUAUUUCACAAAUGUACAAAAAUCUAAAAAUGUUGACAAAAAAUAAAUGAAAUUGAAAAACCUUCAA